UACGUAGGGUGCAAGCGUUGUCCGGAAUUAUUGGGCGUAAAGAGCUCGUAGGCGGCUUGUCGCGUCGUCCGUGAAAACCUGCAGCUCAACUGCAGGCUUGCGGUCGAUACGGGCAGGCUGGAGUUCGGUAGGGGAGACUGGAAUUCCUGGUGUAGCGGUGAAAUGCGCAGAUAUCAGGAGGAACACCGGUGGCGAAGGCGGGUCUCUGGGCCGAUACUGACGCUGAGGAGCGAAAGCGUGGGGAGCGAACAGG
rnacentral:rRNA from 1 species